rnacentral:lncRNA from 1 species
UGAAAAAUGGUGGAUCAGAAAUAGUUGUCACCAAUAAGAACAAAAAGGAAUAUAUUUAUCUUGUAAUACAAUGGCGAUUUGUAAACCGAAUCCAGAAGCAAAUGGCUGCUUUUAAAGAGGGAUUCUUUGAACUAAUACCACAGGAUCUCAUCAAAAUUUUUGAUGAAAAUGAACUAGAGGUAAGACAUAACAUUUUAUGUUGAAACAGAAAUUUUGAACCCAUUAUUUUCCUUGUUUAUAAUUUGACAUUUCUUAUGUAGCUUCUUAUGUGUGGACUGGGAGAUGUUGAUGUGAAUGACUGGAGGGAACAUACAAAGUAUAAAAAUGGCUACAGUGCAAAUCAUCAGGUUAUACAGUGGUUUUGGAAGGCUGUUUUAAUGAUGGAUUCAGAAAAAAGAAUAAGAUUACUUCAGUUUGUCACUGGCACAUCUCGGGUGCCUAUGAAUGGAUUUGCUGAACUAUACGGUUCAAAUGGACCACAGUCAUUUACAGUUGAACAGUGGGGUACUCCUGAAAAGCUGCCAAGAGCUCACACCUGGUAAGCAGUUGUUUGGACCUUGAUAGAACAAAGCCUCAGAGAGUGAGGUUCCUCUGUUAGUCUAGC